AAUAAGUUGAGUACUUAGAUAAUAAAAUAUCUUAUGUGACUGUUCCCCCUUUAAUUACCCCUUCCGAGGACAACAAUCAGGGACCCAAUCCAUAGCUUUUCUCCUCGCAAGACCAAAUGGCUUCCUCACCAUAACCAUGCAUAACCAGGCCAGAAAUCACAAUGUACUUCCUUGUACUCGUGCCUCACACACCCAUAUAUCAAAUUUCAGAAUGAAAAACUUCUUCAAUAAGUUUUGAGUGAUAAAUUGAAAAUAGGGAUGAUAGCUUUCUAUAAGUUUUGGGUGAACAGAUUUCAUCCCAAAAUUUUCCAUCUUCUCUCAAGCCUAAAAUAACAUUCAAAAACCAAAAACAAGAUAAUUCCCAUCCUUUUAAUUUGUAGCCUCUAUCUGUAAAUAAUAAGACUAGAUUUGCGGUCUUCCAUUUUAUUAAUCAAUCUAAUCUACAACAGUUGAAAUCAAAAUAAGCCCAAUUGACAGAAUGGGGCUCAUUCCAACCUUUUGGUUCAUAGGCAAAAGAAAUGGAGCAAAAACGUUGUAAACUACAAAGGAUUUAAACCUACAUCAACUUGAUACAAGAAAGAGAUAAAUCGCCGAUCUUUCACAUUUUUCAUCACGCAGGGACUUUACCUAAGAGUUUGAGGACGGCUUCUUUGGUGGGUAAUGCAGGGAUUGCACCCCUCUCUGUUACCGUUACAGCACCACAGCCAUUUGCAAAAAGAAGAGCGUCUCUUAACCGCUUCUCAUCCUUCAAUAGACAUAGAUCAGAUGCUAGGCAGCUGAGAAUCCCACCAACAAAGGCAUCACCAGCACCAGUUGUGUCAACAGGCUUCACUUUAACACCAGCAACCCUGCCCUUGAAUUCCUUGGUGUAAUAUCUACAGCCUUCAGAGCCUUCAGUCACAACCAAAAGCUUCAGAUUGGGAUGAAAAAGCUUCUUUAAGACCACAUUAUCAUCAUUAGGAUCAUCACCUCCAGUUAAAAAUGUGAUUUCCUCCUCACUUAUCUUAAUAACAUCAGCUUGUUCCCAUAUACUCAUUAUGCCUUUUCGAGCAUCCUCAGGUGAUGGCCAUAAUGCCAAUCUCAAAUUUGGAUCAUAAGAAAGGAUGCUGCCAGAGCUUUUGGCAAUCCUCAUUGCAGCAAGAUGAGCUGACCUGCAUGGUUCCGCAAUCAAACUAAUAGAACCAUAAUGAAAGAUCCUUGCCUGCUUGAGGAGAUUCAUAUCUAGUUCUGACUCAUGAAGAAGCAUGUCUGCACUGGGAUGACGGAAAAAUAAGAAUUCACGUUCACCAUCAGCUCUGAGAGUAACAAAUGCUAGUGCAGUCCUUGCGCUGGGAUCAAAUCGUACACCAGAAUGAUUGACAUUGUUUUGUUUUAAAAUGUCAGCCAACAUAUAGCCAAAAUCAUCAUCACCUAGCUGAAAUACAAACGGCAGGUAAUUUGAAAUAGGAAUGGUUAGAAGCAAGGAAUCAAAAUUGUUCAUAGAUCACAGAAAGAAGAACAUUGAAACAAGGCAACAAAAGUAUAGAAUUGGAACUAAAAUUUGUUUUUAAUUACAAUCUAAGAAAAAUUAAAAUAUUAAAAACACAAUCAGGUGUGGACAAGAUGUGUCAAAAACCUUUGUUAGAACCAUGAUUUGGAAAUAGAAUCACUUCUAAUUCAGGGAUGGCUGCUAAAAAAUCAGGUCAAAAGAUUACAAUAAUUGACAAAAUAUGAUUAUACGAAUUCUUUUGUUCAUUCAUAUCACCAAAUGGCCAAUUAAUACAUUGACAAAAUAUCCAUUUUAUAUAACAGAUAUUGGCUAUUUCAUUACCAUAUUUAAUGAAAUUUUCAUAUAUGUGGCUUUUCCUUUGGAAUUAGGGAAGUCUACAUUUAGUUAGCAGUAACAGCCGAGUACCUGACAUGCCACUCUGUUACAUAUAAUCCAAGCACAAAGCAACUAAAGGUCCAGUGUUUGGCAUGCAAUAAGGAGGAAAGGAAACCGCUAAAUGAAUAAGACUAAGCUAUAUUUAUUCAAAUGCACCUUGCCUAUAAAAGCUGA
rnacentral:misc_RNA from 1 species